GCUGUGUCCUUUCCUCUUUGCUUUCACGUCGAGAGCUGUUUGCUCACUGUGGAGUCGUUGGGAGCAUUACUGAAGAGUUCGGAGGGAAGCAGUGUGCUGGGAAGGCUGCAUCUGCACCGGUGAUGUGGCUGCAUCUCUCCUCACUGGAAAGAGAGCUGAAGUUCUGGGGGCUGAGGGGCUAUCAGUCCCUCUUAAUUAACAGGACAGUUACCAAGUCACAGGCAUGUGUGCCUGAACGUGACCCACAUAAUCCUGUAAAACGGGGAUUUGUAUGAGGACGCCUUGAAAGGUCAUCCAGCCCACCUGUACCCUGAGGUACAAUCGCGUGUGAGUCUUUCUGGACAGAGAUUUGCCGAGCCUGUUCCUGGAGCCCUCAGCCAUGGAGAACCGCAGCCAGAGGAGCGACCCCUGUGCCAGAACUCAGCUUUCCUGAAUCGGGGCCCUUUCCUUCUUCUGGCUGGGAGCACCCAACAAAUGAAGGAGGUGCUCCAGCAAGAAAAAGUAUCCGUGUCCAUCCCACAGCCCUGACAGCAUCAGCCCCGAUUGCUCAUCUGUUUCCAAGUACAGCUGAGACAUUUUGCUGGUGGGCAGAGAAGUCAGGGACACUGCAUCCAGCACCCUGCAGCGGAGGAAGCAUUAGUACUGCUGUUGUUAGCCUUGUUAUUUUCUCCUAAUAAAAAGGUGGUCAUGACUCACUCCAUUAAGAAACAAAAGCAGAGCUGUAAUCUACUGAAAGGCAGUUGUUUGGAUGCUCAGCAUUAGGCGUGUAAAAGGAGGAAGGUCAGCUGCAGGUCAGGUCUGGUGAUAUACACCCUGCCACCAGCACGGCCCAAACUUCAGGUGUUCUCCAGAGAAUUGAUUUUUUUGGGCUGCGGUAAUUUGCCCCGGCUUCAGAGGUUUCACUUUUGGCAGGAGUGUGGAGGGAGAAAAAGCUCUGUUUCUCACCCCUUCACAUUUCAGUUGGGUUUCCUGAGAGGAAAUGAUACUGCGACUGUGCUGGCCCCCUCCUUCCUCUCGGGAGGGAGGAGCACACCAGCAUCUGCUCACAGCACCUCUUCCCUACGCCCCACUGGGACCAGUUUGCCAGCUGAGCUGUUACUGGGGUGUGAGUCCCGAGGGAAGCAGGCUGCUUCUCACAGAGGAAGUGGUGGCCCCUGGAGCUGGGGACUGAGAGUCAGGGAAGGCAGGUUGUGUUCAGGUGGUGUGCAGGUUUUCUGUGUGAGCAGGACUAGGUCACAGCACCCCUACCCAUGCCAGAUUUCCCAUCUAGUCCAUGUGAAGGUUUUUGGCACAGUUGUGGUGAUCCAGUUCUGACCGGAACCGUGCUGGCACGUGGGUCUCACCCAGCCAUGUAGCUCACAAAGCCCAGCUGCCUCCCAGGGUGGGUGCAGGGAAAGGGAGGGAGCCGGGCUGCCGUGAUGGCAGUGGCCAGGUGAAGACAACACCCACGCUGAAUGCGCUGUGAACAUCUGCCCCUACCCACAAGCUACUCCUAUUUCUGUUCCAUCUCAUAC